AUUGAACGCUGGCGGUAUGCUUAACACAUGCAAGUCGAACGGAAACGAUACUAGCUUGCUAGUAGGCGUCGAGUGGCGGACGGGUGAGUAACGCGUAGGAAUCUGCCUGAUAGUGGGGGAUAGCCCGAAGAAAUUCGGAUUAAUACCGCAUAAUCUAUUCGUAGUAAAGUGGGGGACUUUCGAGCCUCACGCUAUCAGAUGAGCCUGCGUAAGAUUAGCUUGUUGGUAGGGUAAAAGCCUACCAAGGCGACGAUCUUUAGCUGGUCUGAGAGGAUGAUCAGCCACAUCGGGACUGAGACACGGCCCGAACUCCUACGGGAGGCAGCAGUGGGGAAUAUUGGACAAUGGGGGCAACCCUGAUCCAGCAAUACCGCGUGUGUGAAGAAGGCCUGAGGGUUGUAAAGCACUUUCAAUUGUGAAGAAAAGUUAGCGGUUAAUAACCGUUAGCCUUGACGUUAACUUUAGAAGAAGCACCGGCUAACUCCGUGCCAGCAGCCGCGGUAAUACGGAGGGUGCAAGCGUUAAUCGGAAUUACUGGGCGUAAAGCGUGCGUAGGCGGUUUAUUAAGUCAGAUGUGAAAGCCCCGGGCUUAACCUGGGAACUGCAUUUGAAACUGGUCAACUAGAGUAUGGUAGAGGAAAGUGGAAUUUCUGGUGUAGCGGUGAAAUGCGUAGAUAUCAGAAGGAACAUCAAUGGCGAAGGCAGCUCUCUGGACCAAUACUGACGCUGAGGUACGAAAGCGUGGGUAGCAAACAGGAUUAGAUACCCUGGUAGUCCACGCCGUAAACGAUGAUAACUAGCCGUUGGGGGGAUUUACCCUUUAGUGGCGAAGCUAACGCGUUAAGUUAUCCGCCUGGGGAGUACGGCCGCAAGGUUAAAACUCAAAGGAAUUGACGGGGACCCGCACAAGCGGUGGAGCAUGUGGUUUAAUUCGAUGCAACGCGAAGAACCUUACCUGGUCUUGACAUCCUGCGAACUUUCUAGAAAUAGAUUGGUGCCUUCGGGAACGCAGUGACAGGUGCUGCAUGGCUGUCGUCAGCUCGUGUCGUGAGAUGUUGGGUUAAGUCCCGUAACGAGCGCAACCCCUAUCCUUAUUUGCCAGCACAUCAUGGUGGGAACUAUAAGGAGACUGCCGGUGAUAAACCGGAGGAAGGCGGGGACGACGUCAAGUCAUCAUGGCCCUUACGACCAGGGCUACACACGUGCUACAAUGGGAAGGACAAAGAGCCGCGAAGCCGCGAGGUGUAGCUAAUCUCAGAAACCUUUUCGUAGUCCGGAUUGGAGUCUGCAACUCGACUCCAUGAAGUCGGAAUCGCUAGUAAUCGUAGAUCAGAAUGCUACGGUGAAUACGUUCCCGGGUCU
rnacentral:rRNA from 1 species